GCUUACGGCCAUACCACCCUGAACACGCCCGAUCUCGUCAGAAGCUAAGCAGGGUCGGGCCUGGUUAGUACUUGGAUGGGAGACCGCCUGGGAAUACCAGGUGCUGUAAGCU
ensembl:rRNA 5S_rRNA 5S ribosomal RNA